rnacentral:rRNA from 1 species
UAAUACCCGCAGCCCGAGUGGUGGUCGAUAUUAUUGAGCUUAAAGCGUCCGUAGCCUGUCUGGUAAAUUCUUGGGUAAAUCGUGCAGCUUAACUGUUCGAAUUCCGGGGAGACUGCCAGACUUGGGACCGGGAGAGGUUGGAGGUACUCCUGGGGUAGGGGUAAAAUCCCGUAAUCCUGGGAGGACCACCAGUGGCGAAGGCGUCCAACUGGAACGGAUCCGACGGUCAGGGACGAAGCCCUGGGUCGCGAACUGGAUUAGAUACCCAGGUAGUCCAGGGUGUAAACGCUGCAGACUUGGUGUCGGAGGUCCUACGAGGGCGUUCGGUGCCGGAGAGAAAUUGUUAAGUCUGCCGCUUGGGGAGUACGUCCGCAAGGAUG